UACGUAGGGACCAAGCGUUGUUCGGAUUUACUGGGCGUAAAGGGCGCGUAGGCGGCUUGACAAGUCACUUGUGAAAUCUCCGGGCUUAACUCGGAACGGCCAAGUGAAACUGUCAUGCUAGAGUGCAGAGGGGGCAAUCGGAAUUCUUGGUGUAGCGGUGAAAUGCGUAGAUAUCAAGAGGAACACCUGAGGUGAAGACGGGUUGCUGGGCUGACACUGACGCUGAGGCGCGAAAGCCAAGGGAGCAAACGGG
rnacentral:rRNA from 1 species